UAACGACUCUCGGCAACGGAUAUCUCGGCUCUCGCAUCGAUGAAGAACGUAGCGAAAUGCGAUACUUGGUGUGAAUUGCAGAUUCCCGUGAACCAUCGAGUCUUUGAACGCAAGUUGCGCCCGAAGCCAUUAGGCCAAGGGCACGUCUGCCUGGGCGUCUCACG
rnacentral:rRNA from 1 species